AUAUAAUUGUUAGCAAAAUUUACA
rnacentral:snRNA from 1 species